rnacentral:misc_RNA from 1 species
UCUCCGUUGGUGAACCAGCGGAGGGAUCAUUACCGAGUGCAAACUCAUAACCCUUUGUGAACCUAUAUCUGUUGCUUCGGCGGCUCGCUCUCGGGCGAGCCCGCCGGUAAUAUCAGUAUCUCUGUUUGAACCCGACGAUACCUCUGAGUGUUCUUAGCGAACAGUUAAAACUUUUAACAACGGAUCUCUUGGCUCUA